rnacentral:rRNA from 1 species
GUGGGGAAUCUUGCGCAAUGGGCGAAAGCCUGACGCAGCCAUGCCGCGUGAAUGAUGAAGGUCUUAGGAUUGUAAAAUUCUUUCACCGGGGACGAUAAUGACGGUACCCGGAGAAGAAGCUCCGGCUAACUUCGUGCCAGCAGCCGCGGUAAUACGAAGGGGGCUAGCGUUGCUCGGAAUUACUGGGCGUAAAGGGCGCGUAGGCGGACAGCUUAGUCAGAGGUGAAAGCCCAGGGCUCAACCAUGGAAUUGCCUUUGAUACUGGCUGUCUUGAGUUUGGGAGAGGUGAGUGGAACUCCGAGUGUAGAGGUGAAAUUCGUAGAUAUUCGGAAGAACACCAGUGGCGAAGGCGACUCACUGGCCCAAUACUGACGCUGAGGCGCGAAAGCGUGGGGAGCAAACAGGAUUAGAUACCCGAGUAGUCC